rnacentral:rRNA from 1 species
UACGUAGGGGGCAAGCGUUGUCCGGAUUUAUUGGGCGUAAAGAGCGUGUAGGCGGCCAAGCAGGUCCGCUGUGAAAACUCGAGGCUCAACCUCGAGACGUCGGUGGAAACCGUUUGGCUAGAGUCCGGAAGAGGAGAGUGGAAUUCCCGGUGUAGCGGUGAAAUGCGCAGAUAUCGGGAAGAACACCCGUGGCGAAGGCGGCUUUCUGGGACGGUACUGACGCUGAGACGCGAAAGCGUGGGGAGCGAACAGG